UUUUUCACUUUGGCAUCACAUAUACUAAAAUUGGAAUGAUACAGAGAAGAUUAGCAUGGCCCCUGCUCAAGGAUGACAUGCAAAUUCAUGAAGAGUUCCACAUGAAA
rnacentral:snRNA from 1 species